rnacentral:sRNA from 1 species
AGAAGGACAUAGUGUGAUGGACACCUUGGCUGUGGCCCUACGGGUGGCUGAAGAGGCCAUUGAGGAAGCAAUUUCCAAAGCAGAGGCAUAUGGGGACAGCCUGGACAAGCAAAAUGAGGCCAGUUACCUGCGGGACCACAAGGAGGAGCUAACUGAGGAACUGGCCACGACAAUCCUGCAGAAGAUUAUACGAAAACAGAAGAGCAAAAGUGAGCAGCAAGUGGAAGAAGAGCCAGGAUGGCCACAUCCCCAGAGUUGCAGCACAAAGGUGGCAGAUGAGGGGACCUCAGCAUCCCCUGGAGGCUACCGUGCUCCCGCUGCCCUCUGGAGGUCCCAGUCUGCCUUCUCAAUCACUGGAGAAGAAGCCCUGAAGACCCCUCCAGUGGAGGCUGCAUCGAGGCAGCCAAGGGACCAAGGCCAACACCCGAGAGCAGAGUCUGCUCUGCCCAGCUGGAAGAGUGUGGACAGGCUGGAUGAAACAAACCUGGCCCCAGUUUUGCAGAGCCCCGAUGGGAACUGGGUGGCCCUGAAGGAUGGCGCUCCGCCCCCCACCCGACUACUGGCCAAACCUAAGAGCGGGACGUUUCAGGCCCUGGAGGUGGCCUCCAGUGUGGCAUCUGCCUACGAUGAGAUGGGCUCCGAUAGUGAGGAAGACUUUGACUGGAGUGAGGCCUUGAGCAAGCUGUGUCCCAGAUCCCGGGCCCUGCCCAGGAACCCCCAGCCUCAGCCCACACAGGCCCAGAGCUCUGACCAAGGCCCCAUAGCUGCCUCCCCAUCCUCUGCACUCUCCCCCAACCCUGAGGCCAUGUGCUCUGACUCGGAAACCUCCUCCGCGGGCUCUUCCCGAGAAGUUGGGCACCAGGCCAGACUGUCCUGGUUGCAGAGGAAGGCCCCCAGGAACCCUGCAGCUGAGAAGAUGCGCUUGCAUGGAGAGCUGGACAUGAACUUCAACCCCCAGGUGGCCAGCAGGGAGACCUCGGACAGCAGCGAGCCGGAGGAGGCCCCCCACACCACAGACCGGCGGGCCAGGAGGUGGAGAAGAGCCCGAUUGGGCUCAGAAGAGCCAAGCAAAGAACCAUCUUCCCCCAGCGCCCAGCUCCGGGAUCUGGACACACAUCAGGUGUCGGAUGAUUUAUCAGAGACAGACAUCAGCAAUGAGGCUCGGGACCCCCAGACUCUCACAGACACCACAGAGGAGAAACGGAGAAACAGGCUGUACGAGUUAGCAAUGAAAAUGAGUGAAAAGGAGACUUCUUCAGGGGAGGAUCAGGAGUCUGAGCCCAAGACAGAAUCUGAGAACCAGAAGGAAAGUCUGUCCUCUGAAGACAACAGCCAGAGUGUCCAGGAAGAGCUGAAGAAGAAGUUUUCUGCUGUUUCUCUCUGCAACAUCUCCACAGAAGUCCUGAAAGUCAUCAAUGCCACAGAGGAGUUGAUAGCAGGAUCUACAGGGCCCUGGGAGUCCCCACAAGUCCCUCCUGAAAGACAGAAGGGGAUGUUUCCUCGUGGGACAGACCAAGUGAGACUGGAUGAGCAGCUGACUUCCCUGGAAGAAAAUGUAUACCUGGCAGCAGGCACUGUGUAUGGACUGGAGACCCAGCUGACUGAGCUAGAAGAUGCCGCCCGCUGCAUCCACAGCGGCACUGAUGAGACCCAUCUGGCGGAUCUGGAGGACCAGGUGGCCACGGCUGCAGCCCAAGUCCACCAUGCUGAACUCCAGAUUUCGGAUAUUGAGAGCCGGAUUUCAGCCCUGACCAUUGCAGGAUUAAACAUAGCACCAUGUGUGCGCUUCACAAGAAGACGGGAUCAGAAGCAAAGGACCCAGGUACAAACCAUAGAUACAUCAAGGCAGCAAAGGAGGAAACUGCCUGCUCCACCGGUGAAAGCUGAAAAAAUGGAGACAUCUUCAGUGACUACCAUUAAAACAUUUAACCACAACUUCAUUCUCCAAGGCUCCUCAACAAACAGGACUAAGGAAAGGAAAGGCACCACCAAGGAUUUGAUGGAGCCUGCUCUGGAGUCAGCUGUGAUGUACUGACACCAUGGAAUUCCACUGCCAGUGACCCACUGCCUCCGGCCGUACACGACAGUGCCUUGACCCAACAGCCAUCGAGUACUGUAUGUAUUUCCACCUGAGGAGAAGGCCUGGGGAGGCCACAGUGCACCAUUGCACAGGGCUGUCCUGAUACCUCAUCCAGAAAGCCGUCUCAGACUUCAGCACUGCGGUCUUGCCCACUCUCUGCCUUAGGCUCCCAGGGGAAUCCAAGACAGAAAAUGAAGACACUGGCUUCCAACAGCAGCGCUCCAUGUUUAAGAUACAUAUUUUCCCUGUUUGCUUUGCUACUGUAUGUUGACUUUAAGAUCUUUUUUUAAAUACAUUUGAUUCAGCUAGUAUUCCAUGUCAACAAUUUGUCCAAAGGAAAACUGCUGGAGGGAGGAAGGUGGGAAUUAUUAUUUAAUACAUCAUUAAUGCUUAUUAAUCUCUCACAAGCAUCUUUGUCUUGCAAAUCCUAAGGGAAAAGCAAGUCCCUGCAUUGAGCACUAGGGACAGUCUAAUUUGGGGAUUGCUCAACCAUCAAGACUGCAGGUCUCCCUUCAGCCACCUCCUUCCUGCUAAAAGCUUAGCCUACCACACUACCAGUCAUUCCCAUCGCUUUGCAAUCACAAGCCACAGGAUGAGAAGUUCUGACUCACUCAUGCCAUGCCCAGGGCUAUCUGAAACAAUGUCUCAUUAAGAAUUUAGGGUUCUUCCAUGGGCUUACUGACAGUUGCCCAAAUCUGAAGGGGAAAGGGUCUUGAGAAAGACCAUCAUUGGCUCAACUUUAGGGCACUGUCCAGAGUCAACAUGAUGUGGUUUAGCAAUGAUCACAUCUAAACAAAGUUUAGGUAAAUGAAUUAUCGCAGAGAAAAACCACAUGAGAAAAUUUUUGUACUCCAAAUUUACUUCCCAAUAAAUAUUCAGCAAAGUAGUAAAAUGACCUUAAAGAUAAAAAUGAUUAGGGAAUAGCCUUAUUAAAUUUAUAGGUAUAAAAAAUUCAAGGACAAACUGUGCAUUUAAUGGACACAAGAAUUGACUCUAACUCCAUGUCUGUGGUUUCUUUGAACCCGUAUCAAAUGUAUGACUAUUUAGAGUGUUUAUAAGAGAUAAUGGAACUGAACUUUCACUCAAUUAAUUGGGCAUUAACAACCUUCUUUUAUGUUUGUUCCUGAUAUAGUCUGAAUCUUAGGAAGAAGGUAAAAGAAAGGAGGCAAGAGAAUAGUUAUGAUGAAUAUGUGUUAAGUGCCUGCUCUGAAGGAGGCAAUGUUCUUCUUAUUUGAAUCCUUAUGGCAAACUUAUUCAAUAGGUUUUCCCAUAUUUCAGAUUUAAUAACUGAAGGCCAGAGAGAUUAAUUUGCCAAAGCCACACCUUUAUGCUAAUUAUGAUUGGAAUGCAUCACAAAAGCCUAACUCUAUUGUUUUCAACCUCUACGUUAUUUUGCUGCUAUGUGCAUUUCCAGAUCUGAUUUUCUGCUGACUUGUGUGCUAUGAUCCACUCCUGAUGGGGGUCUACAUUAAUCUUCCAGUACUCCUUGCUGAUGCUGUGUUAUGUGUCAUCUAACAGAAAUGACUCCUUUGAAAUAAGUAAAUCUUUGGCUUUUUGUUCUGUUGGUGUGAUUCAAAGCAAAACAAACAAACAAAAACAAAUUUUAAAAACACAACAAAAAAGAUUUGACUUCCAAAUAGAAUGUUUUCUUUAAGAGGCAUGAAAAGCAACUAUUGUUGUGUUACAGUGUUAAAAAUAUUCAGUUUUCUUUGACAAAAAUGUGUACUGUGUAAGCCUUGCAAAC